AGCCCCAGAAACAGGCGACAAUUUCACCCUAGGCGCUGCCGCGAUCGUGGGUGAACUGGGUUCUCUUGCCGGAGGACUGAUCGGCGGAGUCUGCGCAUGGUUAUUCGCAAGGAAAAUUGGCGGGAUCAAAGAUCCCCCACAAUCCCAGUACGACACGAGCAUCGAUUCCGGACGGAACAGCACCUUGGAUACAAACACCGUGAACUCAUCGGGAACCUAUGAAAAUCUCUCAAGGGAUGAACAGGGCGCAAGGCACAAUGCACAAGAUGGAAACUCCACUUACACGGGACUGGUUCUGGGGGAUCGAUCUGUUUACAGUGAUCUGAAGAGAUGACGUCACUGUUGAAUAGAAGAGGACGGUUGGCCGGGAAUUCACACAUGAGAAAGACAACCAUCGUGGAAGAAGCCACCGUGCCAC